rnacentral:lncRNA from 1 species
GUGGCACUGUGCGCAGCGAAUGUUUGCCUCCCAGAUGGAAGGGGAACUCAAAGUGACCCAGGUUCUCAAAGAAAAGUUCCCUCGAGCUACAGCUCUUCAAGUCACAGACAUCUCAGGAGGCUGCGGGGCGAUGUAUGAAAUUAGAAUCGAAUCAGAAUUUAAAGAGAAGAGGACUGUCCAGCAGCACCAGAUGGUCAAUCAGGUAUUAAAAGAAGAGAUCAAGGGCAUGCACGGCCUACGGAUAUUCACCUCUGUCCCCAAG